GUGAAUCCUUUGUAGACUGAUUUGGGGUUCUUUUUCCCUCAAUUUAUAAAUAAGAGAAGUUAAGGGUGGACUCCUCAAAAGGUCCCGUGGUUUUUACUCUUCACAUCGAAGGGGUUUUCCACGUAUAAAUCGUGUGUGUUGUUUGCUAUUAUUUUCUUUUGUUAUAGCUGGUUAUUUACUGCAUUUAGUUGCUGGUUUCCUUUGUUAAUUUGGUUGUGUGACAA
rnacentral:lncRNA from 1 species